AAAAAGACUCUCGGCAACGGAUAUCUCGGCUCUCGCAUCGACGAAGAACAUAGCGAAAUGCGAUACUUGGUGUGAAUUGCAGAAUCCCGUCAACCAUCGAGUCUUUGAACGCAUGUUGCGCCCGAAGUCAUUAGGCCGAGGGGCAUC
rnacentral:rRNA from 1 species